GAAUUCGAUUAACGCGAAGAACCUUACCUGGGCUCGAACGGCUUCUCAACGGCUGUAGAAAUAUGGCUACCCCGCAAGGGGGUGGAGUCGAGGUGCUGCAUGGCUGUCGUCAGCUCGUGUCGUGAGAUGUUGGGUUAAGUCCCGCAACGAGCGCAACCCUUGUCCUGUGUUGCCAUGCCGAAAGGCGGAACUCGCAGGAGACCGCCAGCGAUAAGCUGGAGGAAGGUGGGGAUGACGUCAAGUCCUCAUGGCCUUUAUGUCCAGGGCUACACACGUGCUACAAUGGACGGUACAAUACGUCGCUAACCUGCGAAGGGGAGCCAAUCGUCAAAAACCGUUCUCAGUUCGGAUUGCAGGCUGCAACUCGCCUGCAUGAAGCUGGAAUCGCUAGUAAUGGCAGAUCAGCACGCUGCCGUGAAUACGUUCCCGGGCCUUGUCACACCGAAUCACUA
rnacentral:rRNA from 1 species